AGUGAACGCUGGCGGUAGGCCUAACACAUGCAAGUCGAACGGCAGCACAGUAAGCGCUUGCUCUUACGGGUGGCGAGUGGCGGACGGGUGAGGAAUACAUCGGAAUCUACUUUUUCGUGGGGGAUAACGUAGGGAAACUUACGCUAAUACAGCAUACGACCUACGGGUGAAAGCAGGGGAUCUUCGGACCUUGCGCGAUUGAAUGAGCCGGAGUCGGAUUAGCUAGUUGGCGGGGUAAAGGCCCACCAAAGCGACGAUCCGUAGCUGGGCCUAGAGGAUGGACCGGCACAACUGGACCGGGACAACGCUCAAAACUCCUACGGAAGGAGGAAGUGGGGAAUAUUGGACAAUGGGCGCAGGCCUGAUCCAGAAAGACGGCGUAGGGGAAGAAGGCCUUCGGGUUGUAAAGCCUUUUUGUUGGGAAAGAAGAGCGGCAGGUUAAUACCCCGCUGUACUGACGGUACCCAAAGAAUAAGCAACGGCUAACUUCGUG
rnacentral:rRNA from 1 species